CGGCACGGGUGAGUAACACGUAUCCAACCUGCCGUCUACUCUUGGACAGCCUUCUGAAAGGAAGAUUAAUACAAGAUGGCAUCAUGAGUCCGCAUGUUCACAUGAUUAAAGGUAUUCCGGUAGACGAUGGGGAUGCGUUCCAUUAGAUAGUAGGCGGGGUAACGGCCCACCUAGUCUUCGAUGGAUGGGGGUUCUGAGAGGAAGGUCCCCCACAUUGGAACUGAGACACGGUCCAA
rnacentral:rRNA from 1 species